rnacentral:rRNA from 1 species
AUUGAACGCUGGCGGCAGGCCUAACACAUGCAAGUCGAGCGGAGCGGCGGACGGGUGGGUAAUGCCUAGGAAUCAGCCUGGCAGUGGGGGAUAAAGUCCGGAAACGGGCGAUAAUACAGCAUACAAGCAGAUGAGUCUAGGUCGGCUUAGCUAGUUGGUGGGGUAAAGGAUUACCAAGGCGACGAUCCGUAACUGGUCUGAGGGGAUGCUCAGUCACACGGGAACUGAGACACGGUCCAGACUCCUACGGGAGGCAGCAGUGGGGAAUAUUGCACAAUGGGCGCAAGCCUGAUGCAGCCAUGCCGCGUGUGUGAAGAAGGCCUUCGGGUUGUAAAGCACUUUCAGCGGGGAGGCGUUACCCGCAGAAGAAGCACCGGCUAACUCCGUGCCAGCAGCCGCGGUAAUUC